rnacentral:rRNA from 1 species
AGCGAACGCUGGCGGCAGGCUUAACACAUGCAAGUCGAGCGGGCACUUCGGUGUCAGCGGCAGACGGGUGAGUAACACGUGGGAACGUACCCUUUGGUUCGGAAUAACGCUGGGAAACUAGCGCUAAUACCGGAUACGCCCUUUUGGGGAAAGGCUUGCUGCCGAAGGAUCGGCCCGCGUCUGAUUAGCUAGUUGGUGGGGUAAUGGCCUACCAAGGCGACGAUCAGUAGCUGGUCUGAGAGGAUGAUCAGCCACACUGGAACUGAGACACGGCCCAGACUCCUACGGGAGGCAGCAGUGGGGAAUAUUGGACAAUGGGCGCAAGCCUGAUCCAGCCAUGCCGCGUGAGUGAUGAAGGCCUUAGGGUUGUAAAGCUCUUUUGUCCGGGACGAUAAUGACGGUACCGGAAGAAUAAGCCCCGGCUAACUUCGUG